GCUCUCGACAUAAUCGGAGAAACGGCUAUGGGAGCACAUGUCGAUUCUCAAACCCAUAAGGAUAAUGCCUACGCUCAUGCAAUUCAAGAUAUUUCCUCAUGUGUUCUUCAAUGGUUCACAAAACCAUGGUAUUGGUUUUCUCCU